rnacentral:piRNA from 1 species
UGAGACUGUAGAUUUAAGGACACUGCCUCU